UACAGAGGUCUCAAGCGUUGUUCGGAUUCAUUGGGCGUAAAGGGUGCGUAGGCGGCGCCGUAAGUCAGGUGUGAAAUCUCGGGGCUCAACCCCGAAACUGCACUUGAUACUGCGGUGCUAGAGGGCUCGAGAGGAGAUUGGAAUUCACGGUGUAGCAGUGAAAUGCGUAGAUAUCGUGAGGAAGACCAGUGGCGAAGGCGGAUCUCUGGAGAGUUCCUGACGCUGAGGCACGAAGGCCAGGGGAGCAAACGGG
rnacentral:rRNA from 1 species